UCCAAAAAUUAAUUUAUUAUUUUUCUUCUACCGGCUUUCCCUUCUUUCUCUCGGUUUAUUGUUUUCUCCAAAAUCACAAUAUUUCCUCUUGGCUUCUCCCGAACGAAGUGCUCCCCCCAUUCGGCGGUUGGCCUUCUUCGUCCCGCAGCCUCGAAUCAGGUCUAUCGGUUGCCUUCUCUAGCAAACGUCGUCGUCUCCAAGCUGUCGACGGUCGAAUCACUUGGAAGGCAUCGGCUUGCUCCACGAUUAGAAGGCAUUGGUUUGCUCCACAAUUCACGCCGACGGUUCUUCCUCCAUGAAUUCGAUGCUACCGUGGCCCCUGUUUGGGUAAAUGCAUAGUUUUUAUUUUUUGUUUUUUUUUUUUAAGAUGAAAUGGUAUAAAGUAGCUUUGUGCUUGUAUUUUUUCCUGCGCUUGGGCGAGAGAUUGGUGGCAUAGUAUAAUCUAGAAGUGCUUGGACCCUUUAGAAUUGUUUGACGUUGCUUGAUCAUGUUGUUUGGGGUUUCUGCUUGACAUUGUUGUAAAUGGACUGUUAUAAAAAGUUGUUGGCAUGUUUGUUGACUUCAAUCACAAUUCUAAAUAUAAAAGUUGGGUAGAAUAAAUAUUGGUA